GGAUUGUGGCUCAGUGGUACAGUGCCUGCCUGGCAUGUGUGAGGCACUGGGUUUGAUCCUCAGCACCA
rnacentral:tRNA from 1 species